CUCCGUAUAAGAAGCUGAAAGAAAACUCAUUUAAGUGCGGAUACUGAUGUGGUGGACCGAGUAGGAGAAGGAGGAGAAGAGAAAGGCCAUCUCCCCCUGACCAACCUCAGAUAUCCCCGCCUGCACAGAUGUCUCCUCCGGGACCUCCACCUCAGCCCACCUCGUCCAGAGACAGUCCCAAGAGGAGACGGGGAAGAAAAACAACCCCCUCACCCCAAUGUCCCUGAACAGGCACAGCCCACAGCAGGGGAUGUGAUCAAGGCCAGGUUACAAGGCCACCAACCCAGCCAGGUUCUACAUCGAAGACGGAGACAGAUGCUGACAUUUCGCCUGAUCUCCCAAGGUUCACUCCAAAGCUCAGUCCUGUUGUGCAGCCACCACUUCUUCGAGUCAACAACACAAGCCCGCUGGAGACAUUCAAAACUUUUUUUUUGAUGACAGGACUGUAAAAACCAUCACCCACAACACAAACGAAGAUUCUCCUCGCUUGGAUGGACAUCACUCCUGUGGAGUUUCUCAUAAUCUUUGGACUGCUGAUAUUGAGAGACACGGAGGGCAAAAAUGUCCCAUUUCCCGUUUCAAACAGAUUCAUGACCCUCUCAUGCAUUUUUGCAUGAGUGAAAAAAAAGGCACACAGGAAUAUGAUCCCAAUAUGACUCAAUUCAAAAUUCCUGUGUACAAUCCUCUUCAAAGCUCAUCUGUGGAUAAAGGAUUGUUGCAACAAAAGGCCAAACUCAGACUGACAUUGUACCUUAGGCUCAAGUCAUCCAAAUAGAGUAUCAAACUCUUUGUUUAUGAGUGGAAAAGGUGUUUUGAAGGUCACUACUGAAAAAGGAUUUCAGUCUUGAUCUGCCUUUGGUUUGACUGUUUUUUGGACUUUUGGAAUUUGUUUGGACUCUUCGUUUAGACUUUUGGUUUAAUUCCUGUUUUAUUUUGAAUCCAUUGAUCUUGUGUGUUGACCUUUGUUUCACUUCCUGUCAUUUCGUUUUUUCCCAAUCAGUGAUUGUCUGCCCUGCCCUAGUCCCUGUGCUCCCUGUUGUCUUUGUCAGUUCAUCUGACAGUUUUGCAAUUGUGAAGUUUCCCCUUUAUCUCAGUGUUUUGGAUUUUCAUGUUUUGCUUCUGUUUUGCCCCUGUCAAGUUUGCUAAUGUCUCCUGGUGCUUCUGGUUUUUUGGUCCUAUGUUUUUGAAUUGUGUUUUGCAAGUCACCUUUUAUUAUUAAAAAACUAUUUUUGUUUCUGGUUACAAUA